UGGGGAAUAUUGGGCAAUGGGGGAAACCCUGACCCAGCAACGCCGCGUGAAGGAAGAAGGCUUUCGGGUUGUAAACUUCUUUGACGAGGGACGAAACAAAUGACGGUACCUCGAAAACAAGCCACGGCUAACUACGUGCCAGCAGCCGCGGUAAUACGUAGGUGGCAAGCGUUGUCCGGAUUUACUGGGUGUAAAGGGCGCGUAGGCGGGACUGCAAGUCAGAUGUGAAAUCUGGGGGCUUAACCCUCAAACUGCAUUUGAAACUGUGGUUCUUGAGUGAUGGAGAGGCAGGCGGAAUUCCUAGUGUAGCGGUGAAAUGCGUAGAUAUUAGGAGGAACACCAGUGGCGAAGGCGGCCUGCUGGACAUUAACUGACGCUGAGGCGCGAAAGCGUGGGGAGCAAACA
rnacentral:rRNA from 1 species